UACGUAGGGGGCAAGCGUUGUCCGGAUUUAUUGGGCGUAAAGCGCGCGUAGGCGGCUGGAUAAGUCGGUUGUGAAAUCCCCGGGCUCAACCUGGGAACUGCAUCCGAGACUGCAUUGCUAGAGUAUGGGAGAGGAAAGCGGAAUUUCUGGUGUAGCAGUGAAAUGCGUAGAUAUCAGAAGGAACAUCAGUGGCGAAGGCGGCUUUCUGGACCAAUACUGACGAUCAGGUGCGAAAGCGUGGGGAGCAAACAGG
rnacentral:rRNA from 1 species